CGCGCGGCUACCGACGCAGAGACUAGAAAGAAGGAGCAGGUGAGCCCCGUGACCUCUGACCUCGCGUUCGGCGUAGCCGCGCCCACUGCCUCAUGGGUAAGACUCAGGUGGAUAUUCAAGAUAGAACACCAUGAAAGAUACAGAAAUAAAGAGACUGCUGUCUGCCAACGUUGUCUCUGUUUUGUCCAUUAUCCUAACAACUACUGUUCCACCUCUCUUCUUGGAGAACUUCUCAGUUUUGGGAACACACCUUAUCUGGUUGUGCAUCUGUUCUAUUUGUGUAACUACUGUAAAUAUAAUCUUGUAUAUAAUACUUAAACCAAAUCCAUCUUCUAAGAGAAUUUCAUUUGCUCACAAGGUAACCAGAUUUCUAAAAUGCUGUGUGUUCUUCUUCAUAUCAUGUAUACUGUUUCAUGGAAUUAUCGUUCUUUAUGGAGCACCACUAAUAGAGUCAGUGCUUGAGACAUUUCUGUUUGCAGUACUCCUAUCUACAUUUACUACUUUACACUGCUUGUGUAUGCUGGGACCAAACAUCCAAGCAUGGAUAAGGGUAUUCAGUAAAAAUGGAGCUAUGUCCAUCUGGGAUAACAGUCUGCAGAUUACUACGAUGUGUAGCAUAGUGGGAGCAUGGUUUGGAGCAUUUCCUAUUCCUCUGGAUUGGGAUCGGCCUUGGCAGGUGUUGCGGAGGGCUCAGAUGGAUGAAGAGUGUUUUUAACACCUGGGGCCUGAUUCGCGUGGUUGCAGGGUAUGCUGGUGGGGCCCAAAGGCGGUGAGCUCCUUUUACACUGAGAAGCGUGGACCCAAGUGGCGAGCCCUUGGCACUUCACCGCAGUAUGGGUGGUUGACGAAACCUGAUAUGGACCCUUCCACCUUGGUUCCAGGGGAGGCUUGCGCUGGUGGACCUUGAAAUAAAUCCAGUCUCCGGUCUGUAAAGGCUGGUACAUAGUCUUUGCCGGGUUGGGCAAGGCGCUUUGGACCUAUCUGGCCCAUUUCCUGUUCCCUCGGAGCUACCUUUGGCUACGUGGCUGGCCUCAUUAUUGCACCUCUGUGGAUAUACUGGAAUCGGAAG